rnacentral:rRNA from 1 species
AUUGAACGCUGGCGGCAUGCCUUACACAUGCAAGUCGAACGGCAGCACGGGAGCAAUCCUGGUGGCGAGUGGCGAACGGGUGAGUAAAGUAUCGGAACGUGCCCAGUCGUGGGGGAUGACGUAGCGAAAGUUACGCUAAUACCGCAUACGAUCUAUGGAUGAAAGCGGGGGAUCGCAAGACCUCGCGCGAUUGGAGCGGCCGAUAUCAGAUUAGGUAGUUGGCGGGGUAAAGGCCCACCAAGCCGACGAUCUGUAGCUGGUCUGAGAGGACGACCAGCCACACUGGGACUGAGACACGGCCCAGACUCCUACGGGAGGCAGCAGUGGGGAAUUUUGGACAAUGGGCGAAAGCCUGAUCCAGCCAUGCCGCGUGCAGGAUGAAGGCCUUCGGGUUGUAAACUGCUUUUGUACGGAACGAAAAGGACUGCCCUAAUACGGUGGUCCCAUGACGGUACCGUAAGAAUAAGUACCGGCUAACUACGUGCCAGCAGCCGCCGUAACAC